rnacentral:rRNA from 1 species
CCUAACGGGAGGCAGCAGUGGGGAAUAUUGGACAAUGGGCGAAAGCCUGAUCCAGCCAUGCCGCGUGUGUGAAGAAGGCCUUCGGGUUGUAAAGCACUUUCAGUGGGGAAGAAAGCCUUGGGGCUAAUACCCUCGAGGAAGGACAUCACCCACAGAAGAAGCACCGGCUAACUCCGUGCCAGCAGCCGCGGUAAUACGGAGGGUGCGAGCGUUAAUCGGAAUUACUGGGCGUAAAGCGCGCGUAGGCGGUCUGAUAAGCCGGUUGUGAAAGCCCCGGGCUCAACCUGGGAACGGCAUCCGGAACUGUCAGGCUAGAGUGCAGGAGAGGAAGGUAGAAUUCCCGGUGUAGCGGUGAAAUGCGUAGAGAUCGGGAGGAAUACCAGUGGCGAAGGCGGCCUUCUGGACUGACACUGACGCUGAGGUGCGAAAGCGUGGGUAGCAAACAGGAUUAGAUACCCGUGUAGUC